rnacentral:rRNA from 1 species
AAUGAACGCUGGCGGCGUGCCUAACACAUGCAAGUCGAACGAUGACGAUUAAACGAUUUGUUCUGACUGAACUUAAUUGGAGUAGUGGCGGACGGGUGAGUAAAGCGUGAGUAACCUGGCUUGUACACGGGGGUAGCCGUUGGCAACGACGAAUAAUACCCUAUGACAUCAAAUAAUCGCAUGAUAAUUUGAUCAAAGAUUUAUCGGUAUAAGAGGGACUCGCUUCUUAUUAGCUCGUUGGUAGAGUAAAAGCCUACAAAGGCAACGAUCAGUAGCCGGAUGGGGAGAGUGUACGGCAACAUUGGGAGUGGGACCAGGCCCAGACUCCUACGGGAGGCCGCAAGGGGGAAUUUUGCACACCGGGGGAAACCCUGAUGCCGCGAGGCCGCGUGAUUUAGAAGGCCUUAGGGUUGUAAAAAUCUUUUGUAUGGGAAGAAAAUGACAGUACCCUACGAAUAAGGACCGGCUAACUACGUG